GAUGAACGCUGGCGGCGUGCCUAAUACAUGCAAGUCGAGCGAACAGACGAGGAGCUUGCUCCUCUGACGUUAGCGGCGGACGGGUGAGUAACACGUGAUAACCUACCUAUAAGACUGGGAUAACUUCGGGAAACCGGAGCUAAUACCGGAUAACAUGUUGAACCGCAUGGUUUAACAGUGAAAGACGGUCUUGCUGUCACUUAUAGAUGGAUCCGCGCCGCAUUAGCUAGUUGGUAAGGUAACGGCUUACCAAGGCAACGAUGCGUAGCCGACCUGAGAGGGUGAUCGGCCACACUGGAACUGAGACACGGUCCAGACUCCUACGGGAGGCAGCAGUAGGGAAUCUUCCGCAAUGGGCGAAAGCCUGACGGAGCAACGCCGCGUGAGUGAAGAAGGUCUUCGGAUCGUAAAACUCUGUUAUUAGGGAAGAACAAAUGUGUAAGUAACUAUGCACGUCUUGACGGUACCUAAUCAGAAAGCCACGGCUAACUACGUG
rnacentral:rRNA from 1 species